AGUUGACAGUACUCGCUCCUCUUAUCUAAACCAUCGUGAAGGUUGAGGCAGUGCCAUCCCCGAGGGAGACUGGCCGUGCGGUGGACGUCCAGGUUGUACAAAUUCAGAGACUCUCCCUGGGAAACCAUGGCGACCAUCUCACAGCCGUCCACCACUCUCUUCAGGACGUCUGGUGAUGAACCUGUGCUGCCACCUGUUGGUGAAACAGACAAAUCUGAGAAGACACUGCUGCUGCCGCUGUGACCUGUCACACUGCUGCAGGUGACCAUAGAAGAGCCAGACAUCUGGGCCAGGCUGUGGAGCAUGGUCUGGGCCAGAACCGCCUCCUCCAGCACCUCCUUGAUUUCCUGCAGCUGUGGAUCGUUGGUCUUACCUUUAGAAACUGGAGAAAACAAAAGAACUCGAGAAGCGAUCUGGACCGUGGAGAGUGUCUCAGAGAAGUCUUUAGGAGAGGCUGAGAUGUGGGCGAUCAUGGUGGUCCGACAGUUCAUGUUACCCAGAGACUCCCUGAGCAACAUGAUGGGGUCCUCGAACAGAUACACCCCUGGUGACUGUCCCUCCUGGAUGUUGCCUGUAGCCACUUCAGACAGCAAGUCCUUCAGAGACUCGAACAGAGAAACGAGCUCCAGUUUUCUCCCUGCGCUCAUUGAUGAGUUUGAACAACCAGGAGAUGGCGCAGGGAAUCACACCCAGAGUCUGGAGAGAGUCGUCACGGCCAAUCAUGGUGUAGGAUUUACCUGUGAGUGGGGGGUGGAGCACAGAAGAAAACACAGCAGAUGAAGAUCAGAGAAUGAGGCACAAAGAAUUUCCAGGUACAGGUUACAGGAUCAACUUUGAGGAAAGAGCUGGACUCUGCUGCCUCCAGCUGUGACACCGGACACACACGCACCAUCACUUUAACCUGGAGAGGAGGAGGAGGUGAAAAUGAGGAUUUCAGAAAUGGAGGAAAAGAGUGUGAAGGAGGAGCAUCACCACAGACGGACAGAGACAGUGAUGAAACAGAGAAGACAACAUCGAUGCUACGCUCAGUCACAAACAAAAUCAACUGACACCUGAAAAACAUCAGCCUCCACAGACCAGCCUCCAGACAAGUCAGUGUUUCUGCCUCUCUGUGUUUCUGAGGUGAUGAAGAUGCAGUUGCCAUGGCAACAAACCGAAGGGAGAACUGCCACUGCCUGAGGCUGGUGAUCCGGUGCCGAAACCCGGAGAGCCACCCAGAGAACCGGGGGAUCCUGUCUCUAUCCCUGGAGAUACUGUUCCCAGUGACCCAGAGAAGGAUCCCGGUGAGGAGAU